CAGUAGCCGCGGUAAUACGGAGGGGGCUAGCGUUAUUCGGAAUUACUGGGCGUAAAGCACACGUAGGCGGAUCAGAAAGUCAGAGGUGAAAUCCCAGGGCUCAACCUUGGAACUGCCUUUGAAACUCCUGAUCUUGAGGUCGAGAGAGGUGAGUGGAAUUCCGAGUGUAGAGGUGAAAUUCGUAGAUAUUCGGAGGAACACCAGUGGCGAAGGCGGCUCACUGGCUCGAUACUGACGCUGAGGUGCGAAAGCGUGGGGAGCAAACAGGAUUAGAUACCCCCGUAGUCCCUGUCUCUUAUAA
rnacentral:rRNA from 1 species